rnacentral:hammerhead_ribozyme from 11 species
AACUAGUCAAGAGGUGGAGUCAUUUCCCUAAUGAGUCCAUGGUAGGACGAAACCAAUC